UGGGGAUGAUUUUGCUCAUUCAGCUGCACUCAGACAUAGCCAAUUUGAGUUUGAGCCUUGAAAAGGAUCUUAGUGUAAGCCCUUUAAAUUAGGUCUGGACAUUGGGAAAAUACCCUUGUUCUCUUUUAAAAUUUUUUGUUUAAUCCUAGGAGUGGGAGUAGACCCAAUCAAGAGACUGCUCCGUGUUCAGCUGAUGCUUGGCUUGGAAACACCCAACUGGAAAGCUGCCUGGCAGAGGGCUAUGCUACUGGCUGCCUAGGUCUUGCUGGGACCUCCCCCAGUGUAGGCUAAGAUACAGAUCCUGAGCUCUGCGACCUGGGACUCCAGUUUGCACUUGAACUAUGAGAUCACUGACGGGAUUAGCUAUUCUCCUAACUUUAGGUAUUAUGAGCGAUGCUAAGACCACACAGCCAAAUGCAAUGGAGAGUACAGAAGAGGAACCUGUACGCCUGCCCUGCAACCACUCCACAAUCAGUGGGAGUGAGUACAUACAUUGGUAUCGACAGAUUCCCCACCAUGGGCCAGAGUAUUUGAUUCAUGGUCUAAAAGACAAUGUGACUAAUGGAAUGGCCUCUCUAACCAUCGCAAAAGACAGAAAGUCCAGUACCUUGAUCCUGCCCCGGGUUACCCUGAGAGAUGCCGCCGUGUACUACUGCAUCACCAGAGACACACACUGGGACAGAUGGGGCCGCACCUGUACACUAUCUGCCUGGCGGGGAGGGGAGGGGAGGGAAAGGGGGGGAAGGGAAGCAGCAGCUGCCAUCUCAAGAGGUCACUGCACAAGAAUGAGCCGGAGCCCAGUAGAAGAGACGUAA